rnacentral:rRNA from 1 species
UGAGGAAUAUUGGUCAAUGGGCGUAAGCCUGAACCAGCCAAGUAGCGUGAGGGAAGACUGCCCUAUGGGUUGUAAACCUCUUUUGUGCGGGGAUAAAGUGAGGGACGUGUCCCUUAUUGCAGAUACCGCACGAAUAAGGACCGGCUAAUUCCGUGCCAGCAGCCGCGGUAAUACGGAAGGUCCGGGCGUUAUCCGGAUUUAUUGGGUUUAAAGGGAGCGCAGGCCGUCCUUUAAGCGUGCUGUGAAAUGCCGCGGCUCAACCGUGGCACUGCAGCGCGAACUGGAGGACUUGAGUACGCACGAGGUAGGCGGAAUUCGUGGUGUAGCGGUGAAAUGCUUAGAUAUCACGAAGAACUCCGAUUGCGAAGGCAGCUUACCGGAGCGCAACUGACGCUGAGGCUCGAAAGCGCGGGUAUCGAACAGGAUUAGAUACCCUGGUAGUCCGCGCGGUAAACGAUGGAUGCCCGCCGUUGGGAUUUGGAUUUCAGCGGCCAAGCGAAAGCGUUAAGCAUCCCACCUGGGGAGUACGCCGGCAACGGUGAAACUCAAAGGAAUUGACGGGGGCCCGCACAAGCGGAGGAACAUGUGGUUUAAUUCGAUGAUACGCGAGGAACCUUACCCGGGCUUGAAUUGCAGGAGAACGAUCCAGAGAUGGUGAGGCCCUUCGGGGCUCCUGUGAAGGUGCUGCAUGGUUGUCGUCAGCUCGUGCCGUGAGGUGUCGGCUCAAGUGCCAUAACGAGCGCAACCCCUGUCCAUAGUUGCCAUCAGGUCGUGCUGGGCACUCUGUGGAGACUGCCGCCGUAAGGUGUGAGGAAGGUGGGGAUGACGUCAAAUCAGCACGGCCCUUACGUCCGGGGCUACACACGUGUUACAAUGGGGCAUACAGCGAGUUGGAUGUGCGCAAGUACGUCCGGAUCAAUAAAGUGCCUCUCAGUUCGGACUGGGGUCUGCAACCCGACCCCACGAAGCUGGAUUCGCUAGUAAUCGCGCAUCAGCCAUGGCGCGGUGAAUACGUUCCC